ACGGAAGGCAGCAGUGGGGAAUAUUGGGCAAUGGGGGAAACCCCGACCCAGCAACGCCGCGUGAAGGAAGAAGGCCUUCGGGUUGUAAACUUCUUUUACCAGGGACGAUAAUGACGGUACCUGGAGAAAAAGCAACGGCUAACUACGUGCCAGCAGCCGCGGUAAUACGUAGGUUGCAAGCGUUGUCCGGAUUUACUGGGUGUAAAGGGCGUGUAGGCGGAGCUGCAAGUCAGAUGUGAAAUCCCGGGGCUCAACCCCGGAACUGCAUUUGAAACUGUAGCCCUUGAGUAUCGGAGAGGCAAGCGGAAUUCCUAGUGUAGCGGUGAAAUGCGUAGAUAUUAGGAGGAACACCAGUGGCGAAGGCGGCUUGCUGGACGACAACUGACGCUGAGGCGCGAAAGCGUGGGGAGCAAACAGGAUUAGAUACCCUGGUA
rnacentral:rRNA from 1 species